rnacentral:lncRNA from 1 species
UGUUAGCGUUAUGUUUAGUUUAAAGCUUUAUGCCCAAAACUAUUUGUAUGAUAUUUGUAAAGCGUUAUGUUUAACCGUUAUGUUUACAAAAUGGCGCGAAUCUAAAGGAUUUUUGCAAUUAGAUUUUUUGUUUAUAAUGUCUCUACUAUUUUGAUUUACUUAUUUAUUUACGUACGGUAUUUACCACUUAUUAAGUAACUUAGCUAUAAAACAGCAUUUUGGUUGUUAAUUAAUAUAUAUUUAUUGUAUAUUUGGUUCUGAAGCCCAUAACUGAUUGAUUUAACGUAUCCUUGUUUUGGGCAGCUUCUGGGAUGUUUCCAAGAUAUUUGCGGAUUUGGGCAAUAAGUUUUAUUAUUUAAAAAAUUCAUUUUAGUUCUGCAGUCUUUUCAUAGCAAUGCAAAGUACUUUUGAAUUUUUACCAAAGUUAAUUUGUUUAAUUAUUUUCUUGGUUAUGAAAAAUGAUUUAAUAUAAAUAUAUUAAGGUAUUAAACUGCAUGAAUUUUUUAUGUUUAAUUAAACUUUUAUUAUCAUAAAAAUGUUCAAGGUUAGUUUGAGGAAUUAUUUGGAAAUCGGAAAAAUGGAAAAAACAUUAAAUUUGUUUAUGCUGCAUUUAUACUUCUUGUAUUGAAGAUGCAUACCUAAAAAUUUCAAAAUUUUAAUUCACUGUAUAUUGUGCCAAUUUUCGGUCCAUAAAUUGACCAAUAAGUUCCCUGAAAAGUCUUUAAUAUUUGAAAUUAUUUUGAAAGAAAAAAUUAUGUGUUGUUAAGUUGAAAUUCUGAAGAAAUAUUUUUGGUCCAUAAAACCUACAGGAGGUAUACAUUUCAAGAAAAUAAAACAUUGUCACGCGAGAAGGCUUAGCUCAUCUUAUAUGGAAUGACCCUAUUAUAUGCUUAUAAUAUAUAAACUUUAUACUAUAAUAGUAUGAUUAUUGUAAUAUAUUAUAUGAUAUUUUUAUAAUAAAUUUUUUCUAGUAAUAUAAUAUAAAUUAGUGUAGUAUUAUUAAACUAAUUAAAUUGUGCCAAAUAAUGUUGUUUAAUAAUGUUGUUUAAUACUUGUGUAAUAAUGGUGUUUACCUCUUACCGUCUGACCUGUUUGUUUAUUAUUACUGUUUUUAACAUUAAUUUUGUAUUGCAAGUAUUAAAAAAUGUUAAAUAUACUAUUUGUAAAAUUAAAAUAGUAUAAACUAAUAAUAACUACUUUACUUAUUUCUUCAAUAGUUAAUAGUUGAAAAUAAUAAAGGCUGUUGUUGUCAAAUUUCUUGGGGAAAGAAAAUUGUUAUUGCUUGUAAUAUUGCUGACAUUUUAACUAAUGUGUGAUUCACUACAUGAAUACUUAUGCCAAUGUUUAUAUGGUCCACAAGUUAUCUUUAAUAAAACAAAAUAUGAUGUAAGGAGUUGAAGAGGUAUCGAAAUGGAUGUUCAACCCUUGAUCAGUACAUUUGUUUACUAUUUGCUAGAUUUAACAUAUUCUUGUUUUGGGCGGCUUCUGGGAUGUUAGCAAGAUAUUUGAGACUUUUUGCAAUUGGCUUUAUUAUCUAAAAAAUGCAUUUUUCCUCUG